rnacentral:rRNA from 1 species
UACGUAGGUGGCAAGCGUUGUCCGGAAUCAUUGGGCGUAAAGAGCGCGUAGGCGGUCCGGUAAGUCCGCUCUGAAAGUCCGGGGCUCAACCCCGGGAGGCGGGCGGAUACUGUCGGGCUAGAGUCCGGAAGAGGCGAGUGGAAUUCCUGGUGUAGCGGUGAAAUGCGCAGAUAUCAGGAGGAACACCAAUGGCGAAGGCAGCUCGCUGGGACGGUACUGACGCUGAGGCGCGAAAGCGUGGGGAGCAAACAGG